rnacentral:tRNA from 1 species
GGGGAGAAAGGGGAUGGUUCCCUCCACGGGCUGCAAACCCGCUGGCCGGCCCGUCGUGCGGGCUGGAGUCCGGUUCGAUUCCGACUUCUCCCC